GGUGGUUCUGCACUUUGCACUAUUGCACUCGCUUUUGCUUUCUUUACCAAAAAGCAGGACCCAACAACCUACGGUUAGGUUAUACUGUACGCAAAAAACCCCAGGCAAACAAAACCACCACCACCGACGAAGUCCUUGGCCGGGAGGGGCAGCCUGGUUGCCCACCCGUACUGAAAAGCACAGCAAGCUUGAAUGGACGCCGAGUAAAAGAAGAGGCCCGCCUUCCAGCGGAGGUGUUUCCCGGUAACUAUUGCAAGCUUGAAUGAAAAGGGGAGUUUGGUGUUUGGUUUUUUUUUUUAAUGAACAGCUUCCCGCUCCGCGGCCGAUUUGCUGAAGGUAACUUUGCUCCCAGCACACUGUAUUGCUGCAGAGAGACGUCCCAUGGAAAAUUGAAGACAAAAUUAAUCUCUGAACGCAAACGAUAAAUGCCCAAGAAGUGAGGCAAAAAAUAAAAACACCAAAGAAAGAA